rnacentral:rRNA from 1 species
GACAGAGGGUGCAAACGUUGUUCGGAUUUACUGGGCGUAAAGCGCGUGUAGGCGGCUUUGCAAGUCGGAUGUGAAAGCCCACGGCUCAACCGUGGAAGUGCAUCCGAUACUGGCAGGCUUGAAUCCGGGAGAGGGAUGCGGAAUUCCAGGUGUAGCGGUGAAAUGCGUAGAUAUCUGGAGGAACACCGGUGGCGAAGGCGGCAUCCUGGACCGGUAUUGACGCUGAGGCGCGAAAGCCAGGGGAGCAAACGGG